UACAGAGGUCUCAAGCGUUGUUCGGAUUCAUUGGGCGUAAAGGGUGCGUAGGUGGCGCCGUAAGUGGGGUGUGAAAUCUCGGGGCUUAACUCCGAAACUGCAUUCCAUACUGCGGUGCUCGAGGACUGGAGAGGAGACUGGAAUUCAUGGUGUAGCAGUGAAAUGCGUAGAGAUCAUGAGGAAGACCAGUGGCGAAGGCGGGUCUCUGGGCCGAUACUGACGCUGAGGAGCGAAAGCGUGGGGAGCAAACAGG
rnacentral:rRNA from 1 species